GAUGAAUACAUUUCCACUAAUCCAAGUGACUUGCAUUUUCCUGCUAUCUUCUUUUUGGACAGGAAGCCUCUUUUUUGCCAGCUAUUGCCACGUUGCCUGGAUGCUGCAGUGUGAGGAGGGAGCUGCUGCUGCUGACCAUUUGGCUGGCAAGCUGUGGCCAGGUGGCCACGGAUCAGUGUGAGGGGCAGGUGCCUGACAGGGUGCUGGGAGCUGCCAACAUCUACCAGGCCCUGCUGACGUGGCUGCUGUCCCUGGUGCCUCCUGUGACGAGGAAGGAUGGUCCCAAAGCUCCAUUUGAGGUGGUGGGGCUGCAGCAGGCCUGGACAGAGGAAGGCUUGGCCCUGUAUGCCUGCUUGGUGGCACCAGAGGAACCUCCAGCCCAGAGCCACGAGGCAGCAGCUGCAGAACAUCUCCAGGGAUCACCCAGCUUUUACCAGAAGAUUUCUGCAUUUCUGACUUCUACAUGGCUUCCAGACCUUAUCUGGUGGAGAGAUGAACUGGCCAGUCACUUCCAAAAGCAGCUGUGCCCACUUGUUCCUGCAGUUCCCUCUGUCCUGCUCAGUAACAUCACUGCUGUUAAUCCUGACCCUCAGGUUGCCAUGGUGCUGCUGUUUGAGGCUCUCUUCCAAAACCCCCUGGAGACCCAUCACACUCUGAGGCUGCUGCUGGGCUCUGGGCUGGAUGUCUGCGGCCUCCGCCUGCUCUACCCCGGCCAGGAGCUGCUGCUCUCCAGCUCAGGUGGGCUCUGCCUCUCCUCCAGAGCUUCCCUGACCUGUAACUGCACUGAGGUGAAGGGUGAUCAGUCACAUUUGCAUGAGGGUUGCUUUAUCAGUUGCUCUAUCUUUCCCAAAAGAAAUGAUAGAAUAGCUUUGACCCUUCCCUUCCCUUCCCUUCCCUUCCCUUCCCUUCCCUUCCCUUCCCUUCNAAGAUUAACAAAAUUGCAUUAAAUGGAAUUUAAAUACUAGUUCCUAGUAAAUGAUAAAAUAAUUAAUAUGUCCAGCAACCUGUACUAAACUCUGCAGCCAUCUGAAGGGAACAUGCACACUGGGGAGGGAGGAUGUGCAGAGAACAC
rnacentral:lncRNA from 1 species